GACGAACGCUGGUGGCGUGCCUAAUACAUGCAAGUCGAGCGAAUCAUUAGGAGCUUGCUCCUUUUGGUUAGCGGCGGACGGGUGAGUAACACGUGGGCAACCUGCCUAUAAGACUGGGAUAACUUCGGGAAACCGGAGCUAAUACCGGAUAAUCCUUUUUCACACAUGUGGGAAAGCUGAAAGACGGUGCAAGCUGUCACUUAUAGAUGGGCCCGCGGCGCAUUAGCUAGUUGGUGAGGUAAUGGCUCACCAAGGCGACGAUGCGUAGCCGACCUGAGAGGGGGAUCGGCCACACUGGGACUGAGACACGGCCCAGACUCCUACGGGAGGCAGCAGUAGGGAAUCUUCCGCAAUGGACGAAAGCCUGACGGAGCAACGCCGCGUGAACGAUGAAGGCCUUCGGGUCGUAAAGUUCUGUUGUUAGGGAAGAACAAGUACCGGAGUAACUGCCGGUACCUUGACGGUACCUAACCAGAAAGCCACGGCUAACUACGUGCCAGCCGCCGCUGUAAGAC
rnacentral:rRNA from 1 species